rnacentral:rRNA from 1 species
UGGGGAAUAUUGGACAAUGGGCGGAAGCCUGAUCCAGCAACGCCGCGUGAGGGAUGACGGCCUUCGGGUUGUAAACCUCUUUCAGUACCGACGAAGCGAAAGUGACGGUAGGUACAGAAGAAGGACCGGCCAACUACGUGCCAGCAGCCGCGGUAAUACGUAGGGUCCGAGCGUUGUCCGGAAUUAUUGGGCGUAAAGGGCUCGUAGGCGGUUUGUCGCGUCGGGAGUGAAAACAGCGGGCUUAACUCGUUGCUUGCUUUCGAUACGGGCAGACUAGAGGUAUGCAGGGGAGAAUGGAAUUCCUGGUGUAGCGGUGAAAUGCGCAGAUAUCAGGAGGAACACCGGUGGCGAAGGCGGUUCUCUGGGCAUUACCUGACGCUGAGGAGCGAAAGUGUGGGGAGCGAACAGGAUUAGAUACCCUGGUAGUCCACACCGUAAACGUUGGGCGCUAGGUGUGGGGUCCUUUCCACGGAUUCCGUGCCGUAGCUAACGCAUUAAGCGCCCCGCCUGGGGAGUACGGCCGCAAGGCUAAAACUCAAAGGAAUU